AAAAAUCCAGCUCCAGCAGAUUUCAGAAUGUAAAGUGUAGUGUAAUUUAUAAUGAUUAACGCGAAAAAAUAUAAAAAAAUAUUGUAUUUUAAAUUGCGUCUUUCUGUAAAUUUUACAAUCCGCUGACAGAUGACUUUUAAUGUUAUAUUUAGUGUUAUCGAAAAAAAGUGAGCUUGACCCUAAGAAUUGAUUGCUCCAUUUAUACGUAUGUAAUCCAAUUAUCUGUAUAUUCCAAUUAUCAGUAUAUAUAUAUUCGUUCAAUAAGAAUAAAUGACAGAUAAUUCCGGAUGGCUACAAUAAUGUACAGUUAAUUAAUAACGGUUUUUUCAUACUCUUGCUGCUUAUCUUUUGCAUAUACCGCUAUCUUUAUUCAUACUAUCAUUUACGCAAAUAAUUCUCUCACAUAAUUCGACCUGAAAUUUUUGCAAAAACAACGAUAUUUAUGUCGAGAGGCUCAUAAAUAUCGAAAAAAAGCAAAAUAAAGAGGUUCAAUUAAAAGCAUUUGAAGAUUUCUAAGAGAGUUCUCUGUUAUUGUGUUACUGUGUAUAUCAAGGAAAAUAUUAAAAUGAAGCUACAAGAAAAAUCCACUUUUGCUCAGAGAAACCUGGUUUAUGACACCAUCCCUCUUAUUAUUAUCGAUAAAAUGGAAAGGAAACAUAUCCGAGAUAAUAAAGAAACUCUGAAAUAUUAUUACGUUUCUAGUCCUUUUUGGAUGAAGUUCCGCUUAUUACUAUUUUGGACAUUGUGGUUUAUGUUGAUUGUAGCACUGACGCUCUGUAUUCUCACGUAUUUUUGUUUCAUACCUCGAAUGUGUUAUAAUUCAAACGUACACAAAAACAUAAACGGCAGAUAAAUAUACAUCAUUUCAAAAAAAUGCAGUGGCAUCAUAAAUGUCGAGUAUUAUAAUAAUUUGAAU